UUCAUGGAGAGUUUGAUCCUGGCUCAGGACGAACGCUGGCGGCGUGCCUAAUACAUGCAAGUCGAGCGGACCGACGGGAGCUUGCUCCCUUAGGUCAGCGGCGGACGGGUGAGUAACACGUGGGUAACCUGCCUGUAAGACUGGGAUAACUCCGGGAAACCGGGGCUAAUACCGGAUGCUUGAUUGAACCGCAUGGUUCAAUCAUAAAAGGUGGCUUUCAGCUACCACUUACAGAUGGACCCGCGGCGCAUUAGCUAGUUGGUGAGGUAACGGCUCACCAAGGCGACGAUGCGUAGCCGACCUGAGAGGGUGAUCGGCCACACUGGGACUGAGACACGGCCCAGACUCCUACGGGAGGCAGCAGUAGGGAAUCUUCCGCAAUGGACGAAAGUCUGACGGAGCAACGCCGCGUGAGUGAUGAAGGUUUUCGGAUCGUAAAACUCUGUUGUUAGGGAAGAACAAGUACCGUUCGAAUAGGGCGGUACCUUGACGGUACCUAACCAGAAAGCCACGGCUAACUACGUGCCAGCAGCCGCGGUAAUACGUAGGUGGCAAGCGUUGUCCGGAAUUAUUGGGCGUAAAGCGCGCGCAGGCGGUUUCUUAAGUCUGA
rnacentral:rRNA from 1 species